rnacentral:rRNA from 1 species
GUCCACGCCCUAACUAUGUCAACUAGUUGUCGGGAAGCAAUUCCUUGGUAACGAAGCUAACGCGUGAAGUUGACCGCCUGGGAGUACGGUCGCAAGAUUAAACUCAAAGGAAUUGACGGGGCCCGCACAAGCGGUGGAUGAUGUGGAUUAAUUCGAUGCAACGCGAAAACCUUACCUACCCUUGACAUGCCCCGGGAGCCCGAUGAGAGUUGGGUGUGCUCGAAAGAGAGCCGGGACACAGGUGCUGCAUGGCUGUCGU